AAGGACUUAGGCUAAUUCAAACCCUCAGCCUUCAAAGUUGAAAAUAAAGUUUACUUUAGGCCUUA
rnacentral:tRNA from 1 species